rnacentral:rRNA from 1 species
AUUGAACGCUGGCGGCAUGCCUUACACAUGCAAGUCGAACGGUAACAGGUCUUCGGAUGCUGACGAGUGGCGAACGGGUGAGUAAUACAUCGGAACGUGCCCGAUCGUGGGGGAUAACGAGGCGAAAGCUUUGCUAAUACCGCAUACGAUCUACGGAUGAAAGCGGGGGAUCUUCGGACCUCGCGCGGACGGAGCGGCCGAUGGCAGAUUAGGUAGUUGGUGGGAUAAAAGCUUACCAAGCCGACGAUCUGUAGCUGGUCUGAGAGGAUGAUCAGCCACACUGGGACUGAGACACGGCCCAGACUCCUACGGGAGGCAGCAGUGGGGAAUGUUGGACAAUGGGCGAAAGCCUGAUCCAGCCAUGCCGCGUGCAGGAUGAAGGCCUUCGGGUUGUAAACUGCUUUUGUACGGAACGAAAAGCCUCUUCCUAAUAAAGAGGGGUCAUGACGGUACCGUAAGAAUAAGCACCGGCUAACUACGUG